rnacentral:rRNA from 1 species
GGCGAACGCUGGCGGCGUGCUUAACACAUGCAAGUCGAACGGUAAGGCCCUUCGGGGUACACGAGUGGCGAACGGGUGAGUAACACGUGGGUGAUCUGCCCUGCACUUCGGGAUAAGCCUGGGAAACGGGGUCUAAUACCGGAUAGGACCACUGCCUGCAUGGGUGGGGGUGGAAAGCUUUUGCGGUGUGGGAUGGGCCCGCGGCCUAUCAGCUUGUUGGUGGGGUGAUGGCCUACCAAGGCGACGACGGGUAGCCGGCCUGAGAGGGUGACCGGCCACACUGGGACUGAGAUACGGCCCAGACUCCUACGGGAGGCAGCAGUGGGGAAUAUUGCACAAUGGGCGCAAGCCUGAUGCAGCGACGCCGCGUGAGGGAUGACGGCCUUCGGGUUGUAAACCUCUUUCAGCACCGACGAAGCGCAAGUGACGGUAGGUGCAGAAGAAGGACCGGCCAACUACGUGCCAGCCGCCGCGGUAAGAC